rnacentral:tRNA from 1 species
GCCCCAGUAGCUUAGCUACACCUAAAGCAUUGGCCUUGUAAACCAAAGACGGACGCACCUGUCCCUGGGACA